rnacentral:tRNA from 1 species
GCGCACGUGGCGUAAUUGGUAGCCGCGCUAGACUUAGGAUCUAGUGCCUUACGGCGUGAAGGUUCGAGUCCUUUCGUGCGCA